rnacentral:rRNA from 1 species
AACGCACCUUGCGCUCCUUGGUAUUCCGAGGAGCAUGCCCGUUUGAGUGUCGUGAUAUCAUCAAGCCGACCCCUCCUUUACUGGUGGGGGUUGCGCUUGGACUUGGAUGUGCUGCCGGACGGCGACGCCCGGCUCAUCCCAAACGCAUUAGCUGGAUUUAUUCCUGGCUUGGACUUUUGUUCUCACUCGGCGUGAUAAUGUCACCCGUCGAGGACGUCCCUCGCCUCACGGACCGGCUUCCAACCGUCCCCUCGUGGACAAAUCACUUUGACAAUCUGACCUCAAAUCGGGUAGGACUACCCGCUGAACUUAA